rnacentral:rRNA from 1 species
UACAGAGGCCCCAAGCGUUAGGCGGAAUCACUGGGCUUAAAGCGUGUGUAGGCGGGUUGGUAAGUACUUUGUGAAAUCCCACGGCUUAACCGUGGAAUUGCUUGGUAUACUGCCGAUCUUGAGUCAUUUAGGGGCAGCCGGAACAGAUGGUGGAGCGGUGAAAUGCGUAGAUAUCAGGAGGAACACCGGUGGCGAAGGCGGGUCUCUGGGCCGUAACUGACGCUGAGGAGCGAAAGCGUGGGGAGCGAACAGG